rnacentral:rRNA from 1 species
GAGUUUGAUCGUGGCUCAGAUUGAACGCUGGCGGCAGGCCUAACACAUGCAAGUCGAGCGGUAGAGAGAAGCUUGCUUCUCUUGAGAGCGGCGGACGGGUGAGUAAUGCCUAGGAAUCUGCCUGGUAGUGGGGGAUAACGCUCGGAAACGGACGCUAAUACCGCAUACGUCCUACGGGAGAAAGCAGGGGACCUUCGGGCCUUGCGCUAUCAGAUGAGCCUAGGUCGGAUUAGCUAGUUGGUGAGGUAAUGGCUCACCAAGGCGACGAUCCGUAACUGGUCUGAGAGGAUGAUCAGUCACACUGGAACUGAGACACGGUCCAGACUCCUACGGGAGGCAGCAGUGGGGAAUAUUGGACAAUGGGCGAAAGCCUGAUCCAGCCAUGCCGCGUGUGUGAAGAAGGUCUUCGGAUUGUAAAGCACUUUAAGUUGGGAGGAAGGGCAGUAAAUUAAUACUUUGCUGUUUUGACGUUACGACAGAAUAAGCACCGGCUAACUCUGUGCCAGCAC